CGGACGGGUGAGUAACACGUGGAUAACCUACCUAUAAGACUGGGAUAACUUCGGGAAACCGGAGCUAAUACCGGAUAAUAUAUUGAACCGCAUGGUUCAAUAGUGAAAGACGGUUUUGCUGUCACUUAUAGAUGGAUCCGCGCCGCAUUAGCUAGUUGGUAAGGUAACGGCUUACCAGGGCAACGAUGCGUAGCCGACCUGAGAGGGUGAUCGGCCACACUGGAACUGAGACACGGUCCAG
rnacentral:rRNA from 1 species